rnacentral:rRNA from 1 species
AUGCAGGUUGGAGGUGUGGAGAGAGUCAAAACACUGGAUGACUCUCAUGACCGUAAGCUUGAUGAUGCCCCAACACUUCUUGAAGAAGAUCCCUGUGAAGCCAUCCGGACCGGGCGCCUUAUCACUAGGCAUCUCCUUUAUGGCCUCCCAAACCUCCUCUUCCGUGAUGGUGUUGCCCAGGUCGUGCAAGUCAUGGGUCUCUAUUCGAAGCUCCUCCCAGUUGAAGUCUUUGUUGCUACUGCAUCCUGUACCCAUGAUCUCAGUGAAGUGGGAAUGUAUGAUCUUCUCUUUUUCCUUGUGUUCGGUCACCCACCCAUGCACGUGUUUGAUCCGGUGAAUAUGGUUUUUCCUCCUUCUGGCAUUGAUGCGUCGGUGGAAGAAUUUUGUGUUUGCAUCCCCAUACUUCAAGUUUGCCAACCGAGCACAUUGACUCUUCCUAGCCCUCUCAAGAACCGCCAAGCUAAUCACCCUUCGCUUGAGUCUCGUGCGCAAGUCUCGCUCCUCAUGAGAGAGAGCCCUUUCCUCUUGCGUGGUGUCGAGGUGGAGGAUCACAAGCAGGGCCGCAUGGAGCUGAACCUUAGCCUUGGAGAACAAGUUCUUGCUCCACUCAGAUAG